AGAAUCAACGCUGGCGGCGUGCCUAACACAUGCAAGUCGCACGAGAAAGGGUAGCAAUACCUGAGUACAGUGGCGCACGGGUGAGUAACACGUGAAUAAUCUACCUCCGAGUGGGGAAUAACUGAGAGAAAUCUUAGCUAAUACCGCAUAAUACCCACGGGUCAAAGCAGCAAUGCGCUUGGAGAGGAGUUCGCGGCAGAUUAGUUAGUUGGCGGGGUAAUGGCCCACCAAGACGAUGAUCUGUAUCCGGCCUGAGAGGGCGCACGGACACACUGGAACUGAAACACGGUCCAGACUCCUACGGAGGCAGCAGUGGGGAAUUUUGCGCAAUGGGGGAAACCCUGACGCAGCAACGCCGCGUGGAGGAUGAAGCCCCUUGGGAUGUAAACUCCUUUCGAUCGGGAAGAUAAUGACGGUACCGAGAGAAGAAGCCCGGCUAACUUCGCGCCAGCAGCCGC
rnacentral:rRNA from 1 species